rnacentral:rRNA from 1 species
GAUGAACGCUGGCGGCGUGCCUAAUACAUGCAAGUCGAGCGAACAGACGAGGAGCUUGCUCCUCUGACGUUAGCGGCGGACGGGUGAGUAACACGUGGAUAACCUACCUAUAAGACUGGGAUAACUUCGGGAAACCGGAGCUAAUACCGGAUAAUAUAUUGAACCGCAUGGUUCAAUAGUGAAAGACGGUUUUGCUGUCACUUAUAGAUGGAUCCGCGCCGCAUUAGCUAGUUGGUAAGGUAACGGCUUACCAAGGCAACGAUGCGUAGCCGACCUGAGAGGGUGGUCGGCCACACUGGAACGGGAACACGGUCCAUACUCCUACGGGAGGCAGCAGUAGGGAAUCUUCCGCAAUGGGCGAGAGCCUGACGGAGCAACGCCGCGUGAGUGAUGAAGGUCUUCGGAUCGUAAUACUCUGUUAUUAGGGAAGAACAAAUGUGUAAGUAACUAUGCACGUCUUGACGGUACCUAAUCAGAAAGCCACGGCUAACUACGUG